rnacentral:rRNA from 1 species
AAACAUGAGAGUUUGAUCCUGGCUCAGGAUGAACGCUGGCGGCGUGCCUAACACAUGCAAGUCGAACGAAGCACUUAUGACGAUUCCUUCGGGAUGAAGCGUUUGUGACUUAGUGGCGGACGGGUGAGUAACGCGUGGGUAACCUGCCUUAUACAGGGGGAUAACAGUUAGAAAUGACUGCUAAUACCGCAUAAGCGCAC